AUCGCCAAACAACUGGGCAUAAGUAGGUGCUGCUGGUUUCCUUCUAGGUGCCAUCUAAAAAAAAUUUAAAUAAAUUUAAUCAAUUAUGACGACAUAAUUAAAAAAUUAUUCUGUUACCUAACUAAUCACCUAAACUAUAGGAUUCCGUCAUCUAAAUAAUCACCUAAAUUAAUUAUCUAAAUAAUCACCUAAACUAAUUACCUAACUAAUUAAUAACC
rnacentral:lncRNA from 1 species